UCGAGCCGUGUGCACCUAAAGGCGCAUGCACGGUUCUUCGGGGGCUGGGCGCAGGUAACUGCGUCCGGCUACCCUCC
rnacentral:ncRNA from 1 species